CCACCAGACUCCUACGGGAGGCAGCAGUGAGGAAUAUUGGUCAAUGGGCUUACGCCUGAACCAGCCAAGUCGCGUGAGGGAAGACUGCCCUAUGGGUUGUAAACCUCUUUUGUCAGGGAGCAAUUGGCGCUACGUGUAGCGUUAUCGAGAGUACCUGAAGAAAAAGCAUCGGCUAACUCCGUGCCAGCAGCCGCGGUAAUACGGAGGAUGCGAGCGUUAUCCGGAUUUAUUGGGUUUAAAGGGUGCGUAGGCGGGCUGUUAAGUCAGCGGUAAAAUGUCGGGGCUCACCCCCGGCCUGCCGUUGAAACUGGCGGCCUCGAGUGGGCGAGAAGUAUGCGGAAUGCGCGGUGUAGCGGUGAAAUGCAUAGAUAUCGCGCAGAACUCCGAUUGCGAAGGCAGCAUGCCGGCUCCACACUGACGCUGAGGCACGAAAGCGUGGGUAUCGAACAGGAUUAGAUACCCCCGUAC
rnacentral:rRNA from 1 species